rnacentral:rRNA from 1 species
AACGAACGCUGGCGGCAUGCCUAACACAUGCAAGUCGAACGAGAACUUCGGGUCUAGUGGCGCACGGGUGCGUAACGCGUGGGAACCUGCCCUUAGGUUCGGAAUAACUCCCCGAAAGGGGUGCUAAUACCGGAUAAUGUCUUAGGACCAAAGAUUUAUCGCCCUUGGAUGGGCCCGCGUUGGAUUAGCUAGUUGGUAGGGUAAAAGCCUACCAAGGCGACGAUCCAUAGCUGGUCUGAGAGGAUGAUCAGCCACACUGGGACUGAGACACGGCCCAGACUCCUACGGGAGGCAGCAGUUGGGAAUAUUGGACAAUGGGCGAAAGCCUGAUCCAGCAAUGCCGCGUGAGUGAUGAAGGCCUUAGGGUUGUAAAGCUCUUUUACCCGUGAUGAUAAUGACAGUACCGGGAGAAUAAGCUCCGGCUAACUCCGUG